AAGGGUGCAAGCGUUGCUCGGAAUCACUGGGCGUAAAGCGCACGUAGGCGGAUUGCUAAGUCAGGGGUGAAAUCCUGGAGCUCAACUCCAGAACUGCCUUUGAUACUGGCGACCUUGAGUCCGGGAGAGGUGAGUGGAACUGCGAGUGUAGAGGUGAAAUUCGUAGAUAUUCGCAAGAACACCAGUGGCGAAGGCGGCUCACUGGCCCGGUACUGACGCUGAGGUGCGAAAGCGUGGGGAGCAAACAGG
rnacentral:rRNA from 1 species